GAGGUAGGACCGGCGGUGAGGCCGGCACCGCCCCAGGACCCUGUCCGCAGGAGCAGCACAGCAGGCAGCUGCAGGGCAGUGGGAGGAGCUGUCGAGUCAGCUCUUCUACUACGGAGGGGAACUGCAGAGCCAGAAGAGCACGGAGCAGCAACUCGCAGCCCAAUUGGUGACGCUGCAGAAUGAACUGGAGCUGGCGGAGACCAAAUGCGCCUUGCAGGAGGAGAAGCUGCAGCAGGACGCGCUGCAGACAGCGGAGGCCUGGGCCAUAUUCCAGGAGCAGACCGUAGUCCUGCAGGUGCGGCCCCACUCAGACGCCAAGGUGCCUCCCGCCUCUCCUCCCCCAGACCUGGGGCGGUGUGACGGGCAGCUUCGCAGAGUGCAGUACAGCACCGAGUCGCUCAUGGAGGAGAUGGCCAGGGCGGACCGAGAGACGCGGCUGUUCGGCGGUCCUCGCGCGCUGGCCAUCAGGCGCUGCUGACGCUGCCGCUCCUCUUCCUGGGGCUGUCGCUGCUCUGGACGGUGCUGUUGGACCCCGGCGCCGUCUCCGCGUGGCUCUGGAGCCUCACCUCGGAGACGACGCUGCGCCGCCUGCGCUACACGCUGUCCCCGCUGCUGGAGCUGCGCGCUAACGGGCUGCUGCCAACCUAAGUGCAGCGCCCCGCGCCUGGCUCCAGGUGGACUCCAGGGCACCGGCUUUAUUUCUGGUGCACUCCUCUCCUGAGAGUGUAGACCAAGGUCGCCUAAUAAACUCCUCAAGGGAUGAAGCUCGUGGGUUCGUCGUCUGUCUCCCAUGUCAUGUAGGAGCUUGACUGGCUUUUCAGCCUCCAAAGAUUCCUUCCUUUCUUACAGCUCAUGGAUUUAGAUCCACUCCCCAGUAUUGUAAACAGCAUUUUUAGUUUUUCAGGAUACAUAAUUUGCCAUAUUGCCAGAAACUUGUACAUAGCAUUUGACACUUUUUUCUUUGCCAAUUUGACAAGCUGCUUUUUUCAAGUAUUGUGAUUUGAAAUUAUUUCUACUAUAUUUGAAUUUAUUUCUACCAUUUGUAACAUGUUGAUCCUGAUUUUUCAAUGCUCCCCUUUCCUUCUGUUUGAUUAUUUGGGAAGUCACACUCUGUAUUCUGGUAUUCUUACUACUUGAGCUCAGCUCAUUGCUGUCAUCUUCCCCUAAACCGCCUUAAAGCAUCUUAGGUCUUUUCCCUCUGAUCACAUGUGCUACUUUUUUUUUUUUUCUUUUCUUUUGAGAUGGAGUCUUGCUCUGCGCCCAGGCUGGAGUGCAGUGGCAUGAUCUCGGCUCACUGCAAGCUCUGCCUCCCGGGUUCCAGCGAUUCUCCUGCCUCAGCCUCCCAAGUAGCUGGGACUUCAGGCGCCUGCCAUCAUGCCCGUUUAAUUUUUUGUAUUUUUAGUAGAGACAGAGUUUCACUGUGUUAGCCAGGAUGGUCUCGAUCUCCUGACCUCGUGAUCCGCCCACCUUGGCCUCCCCAAAGUGCUGGGAUUACAGGCAUGAGCCACCGUGCCUGGCCAACAUUUUCUCCAGAUAUCUUACCGAGUCCUAAUUUCCACUGCGGACAGAGAAUACACUCUGCGUGAUUUUAAUUCUAUCUCAUUUACUGAGACUUGUUUUGUGGCCCAGCACAAAGCUUGUAAUGAACAUUGAGAAGAAAGUGUAUUGUUGCUGUUGACAGAGUGAUUUUUUUUUUGAGACGGAGUCUCGCUCUGUCGCCAGGCUGGAGUAUAGUGGUGUGCAAUCUCGGCUCACUCCAACCUCCACCUCCUGGGUUCAAGUGAUUGUCCUGCCUCAGCCUCCCGAGUAGCUGGGACUACAGAUGCAUGCCACCAUGCCCAGCUAAUUUUUGUAUUUUUAGCAGAGACAGGGUUUCACUGUGUUGGCCAGGAUGGUCUUGAUCUCUUGACAUUGUGAUCCGCCUGGCUUGGCCUCCCAAAGUGCUGGGAUUACAGGUAUGAGCCACCGUGUCAGGCCGACAGAGUGUGUUCUAAAUACCCAGCAGGUCAAGGUGAGUGACAGGCUUGUUCAGGGCUCCUGUGUUUACUUUCUUGUUGGUAGCGCCGUCAAUUGCUUAUUGUGAAAUGCCCCUUCAUAAACACCCAUACACAUUUUGAUUAUGGAUGGCCCGUCUUUUUUCCAUCUGUUAUUUUCAUCUUAGAUCUGUCUUCAUAUGUAAAGUGCUUUGGUUAUAAUCAGCACAUAACUGGGUCUCACUUCUUCAAUUCAUGUUUAUAAUCCCUGACUUUUAAAUUGGGCUGGUAAGUCUAUUAUGUUUCUCCUUUUCUGCC
rnacentral:lncRNA from 1 species